rnacentral:rRNA from 1 species
GAUGAACGCUGGCGGCGUGCCUAAUACAUGCAAGUCGAGCGAACAGAUGAGGAGCUUGCUCCUCUGACGUUAGCGGCGGACGGGUGAGUAACACGUGGAUAACCUACCUAUAAGACUGGGAUAACUUCGGGAAACCGGAGCUAAUACCGGAUAAUAUAUUGAACCGCAUGGUUCAAUAGUGAAAGACGGUUUUGCUGUCACUUAUAGAUGGAUCCGCGCCGCAUUAGCUAGUUGGUAAGGUAACGGCUUACCAAGGCAACGAUGCGUAGCCGACCUGAGAGGGUGAUCGGCCACACUGGAACUGGGACACGGUCCAGACUCCUACGGGAGGCAGCAGUAGGGAAUCUUCCGCAAUGGGCGAAAGCCUGACGGAGCAACGCCGCGUGAGUGAUGAAGGUCUUAGGAUCGUAAAACUCUGUUAUUAGGGAAGAACAAAUGUGUAAGUAACUAUGCACGUCUUGACGGUACCUAAUCAGAAAGCCACGGCUAACUACGUG